UUUGUUAACACGCUCAACAUCAAUAGGAAACCCAUCUCUCGUUGUUGGAGAAGCAUUUUCCUCUCUUUUGAAUAAAAUGGGCUUUUUGGGUCCAGAAUCUGGUGGCCCCAAAUCAUUUAGAGGUUGAGAUACAGUAGCUCCGCCACGACCAGCUGGAAGUUUGUUAACAUGCUCAACAUCAAUAUGAAAACCUUCUCUCGUUGUUGGAGAAGCAUUGUCCUCUCUUUUGAAUAAAAUGGGCAUUUUCGGUCCAGAAUCUGGUGGCCCCAAAUCAUUUGGAGGUUGAGGUACAGUAGCUCGGCCACGACCAGCAGGUGACCGCAAAUCAUUUGGAGGUUGAGGUACAAUACCUCGGCCACGGCCAGCAGGUGAUUGCAAAUCAUUUUGAUAGUGGGGCACAGUAGCCCGGCCUCGACCAGCUUGUGGCUGAUUUAUGGAAGAUAAAAUUGAUGAGAAAGAAGGAAGGCCUGGCGGACGGAUUGGCUUGCCA
rnacentral:lncRNA from 1 species